CCCCUAGAUGUUCUGGGCCGCACGCGCGCUACACUGAACAGUUCAACAAGUCUUAACCUUGGCCGAUAGGUCUGGGUAAUCUUUGAACGCUGUUCGUGAUUGGGAUAGACCUUUGCAAUUAUGGGUCUUCAACGAGGAAUUCCUAGUAAACGCAAGCCAUCAGCUUGCAUUGAUUACGUCCCUGCCCUUUGUACACACCGCCCGUCGCACCUACCGAUUGAAUGGUCCGGUGAAAUCUCGGGACGGCGGCUUGGUCGCUUGCGUCCGACUGCUGAAACUUGAUUAAACCAUAUCAUUUAGAGGAAGGUGAANUCGUAACA
rnacentral:rRNA from 1 species